GAUGAACGCUGGCGGCGUGCUUAACACAUGCAAGUCGAACGGAAAGGCCCUGCGUUUGUGGGGUGCUCGAGUGGCGAACGGGUGAGUAACACGUGAGUAACCUGCCCUUGACUUUGGGAUAACUUCAGGAAACUGGGGCUAUUACCGGAUAGGAUCUCCUGCUGCAUGUGGGGGGUUGGAAAGUUUCGGCGGUUGGGGCUGGACUCGCGGGUUAUCAGCUUGUUGGGGUGGUAGUGACUUACCAAGGGUACGACGGGUAGCCGGCCUGAGAGGGUGACCGGCCACAUGGGGACUGAGAGACGGCCCAGACUCCUACGGGAGGCAGCGGGGGGGAAUAUUACACAGUGGGCGGAAGCCUGAUGCAGCAACGCCGCGUGCGGGAUGACGGCCUUCGGGUUGUAAACCGCUUUCGCCUGUGACGAAGCGUGAGUGACGGUAAUGGGUAAAGAAGCACCGGCUAACUACGUG
rnacentral:rRNA from 1 species